UACAGAGGUCUCAAGCGUUGUCCGGAAUUAUUGGGCGUAAAGCGCGCGCAGGCGGUCCUUUAAGUCUGAUGUGAAAGCCCACGGCUCAACCGUGGAGGGUCAUUGGAAACUGGAGGACUUGAGUACAGAAGAGGAAAGCGGAAUUCCACGUGUAGCGGUGAAAUGCGUAGAGAUGUGGAGGAACACCAGUGGCGAAGGCGGCUUUCUGGUCUGUAACUGACGCUGAGGCGCGAAAGCGUGGGGAGCAAACAGG
rnacentral:rRNA from 1 species